rnacentral:rRNA from 1 species
AUUGAACGCUGGCGGCAGGCCUAACACAUGCAAGUCGAGCGGAUGAAGGGAGCUUGCUCCUGGAUUCAGCGGCGGACGGGUGAGUAAUGCCUAGGGAUCCGCCUGGUAGUGGGGGAUAACGUCCGGAAACGGGCGCUAAUACCGCAUACGUCCUGAGGGAGAAAGUGGGGGAUCUUCGGACCUCACGCUAUCAGAUGAGCCUAGGUCGGAUUAGCUAGUUGGUGGGGUAAAGGCCUACCAAGGCGACGAUCCGUAACUGGUCUGAGAGGAUGAUCAGUCACACUGGAACUGAGACACGGUCCAGACUCCUACGGGAGGCAGCAGUGGGGAAUAUUGGACAAUGGGCGAAAGCCUGAUCCAGCCAUGCCGCGUGUGUGAAGAAGGUCUUCGGAUUGUAAAGCACUUUAAGUUGGGAGGAAGGGCAGUAAGUUAAUACCUUGCUGUUUUGACGUUACCAACAGAAUAAGCACCGGCUAACUUCGUG